CUGCAGUAUUAAUGUGUUUUGUAUGACAUUCUGCCUUGGCAGUUUACUUUCAUGAUUUUUCUUUUCACUUGCAGUAUAGUCGGGAUUUCUUCUGGUUCUGGCGGUUUCUCGUUUGGUUGUACCUUCUACAUAUUGACUCAGUUGGAUUUCAUGCUCUCCUGCUCCACCCCAUCAAAGAAAGAGGAAAUGGGAUGGUCUGCCUGAUAGUUUUAUCGUACUUUUGUUCUGAUUGGUUGUUUCUGAAAAGUUAUGUUAACUAUUUCUUUGCUGGA